UUCUGACCGUAAACGAUACCAACUAGCGAUCUGCCGGUGGAAUAUUUUUGCCCUGGUAGGGAGCUUCCCGGAAACGAUUAAGUUUUCAGGUUCCGGGGGAAGUAUGGUUGCAAAGCUGAAACUUAAAGGAAUUGACGGAAGGGCACCACCAGGAGUGGAGCCUGCGGCUUAAUUUGACUCAACACGGGGAAACUCACCCGGCCCGGACACCGUAAGGAUUGACAGAUUGAUAGCUUUUUCAUGAUUCGGUGGAUGGUGGUGCAUGGCCGUUCUUAGUUCGUGGAGCGAUUUGUCUGGUUUAUUCCGAUAACGAGCGAGACUCUAGCCUACUAACUAGUCUGCACAUUGCUUGUGUGUGCAGUUACUUCUUAGAGGGAUUUUCGGUGUUAUAGCCGCACGAGAUUGAGCAAUAACAGGUCUGUGAUGCCCUUAGAUGUCCGGGGCUGCACGCGCGCUACACUGGCGAAAUCAGCGUGCUUGUCCUUUCUCGAAAGAGAUUGGUAAACCAAUGAAAAUUUGCCGUGAUUGGGAUCGGAAAUUGCAAUUAUUUUCCGUGAACGAGGAAUUCCAAGUAAAUGCAAGUCAUCAACUUGCGUUG
rnacentral:rRNA from 1 species